AAUAGACCCAAAAGCAAAUUCUAAGGACUAUCUAUGGGCAUUAAUAAUCAGUUGGUGUUUCUUCUCACAUGCAGGUGACUUUAUUGUGCAUUGACCAGUAAGGUUGUCUCCAUCAUAGAGGACAAUGCCAUCUAACAUUAAAUCUAAAAUUGAAUCCAGUAUAAUUUUCCAAUUACAGUUAGAAAACCAAACGAGAUAAACAGGAGAAAAUUUAUUUAUUGGUCCAGAGGUAAUAAACAAACAGAAGAGGGGUUUGUACAUGAUUAAACAGGAGAAAAUUCAUUUAUUGGCCCAGAGGCAAUAAACAAACAAAAGAGGGGUUAGUACAUGAUGCUCAUGAGAGGCUAUGAUUGCACAGUUAAAGAUGAAUACUGUUAUAUCAAACCUAAAAUAAAGAGAAAGGUGUUUCUUCUCUUCUUCCCCCUCCCCUCUCUCUCUUCCUUCAGAAGUUAACAAACUACCUGAUGUUCUGG
rnacentral:misc_RNA from 1 species